CAGCCCUGUAGGAGACACCUCCAGAGAAAGUAACAGCUCUCAAUUGAUUAGCUGAGGAGACCGAUUUUGUAAAUCACUACUUUUCUAACAACACUGGCACAGAUGGCCAAGCAUUCUCCCUUUUCUCAGAGCUGGUUUUCCAUCCCGGAAAGAGCCAGAAUUAGCUUCUGUUACUUACAACUGUGAGUCCUGACUGAAAACAUAUUUCUUCCUUUGAAGAACUGUUACCUGUAACAGGCUAAGAAGAAUAUUAAGCUCGCCUUGGCGGGAAGAUCUGGCACAAAUGAAGUAUCUAUAAGGAGCAGCAGAGUCAAGGUGGUGAUCCUGUGGAUGAAUAACUGAAACCUGAUAUACUUGACAGCAGAAAAUAUAAAGCAAAUUGAAAAGGAGAGAGUGUGGAGAUAAAUAAGAAAAUGAAAGAACUGAUAAAGUCACUUGGAUUAAAAAACCUGGGAGUAAGGGCUUUGUUUAUGAUUGAACUUAAGAGAGAAUUGAGGGACCACCUACCUUUGAUGUUAACGAGAAAGUAAAGAGGAAACAUAUUUAGAGAUACCCUUUGGUGAAAAACAGAAAUGGAUGUGUCAUUUGAUGCAUCACAUUAUUUAUUCAACAAACUCUUAGUGAGAACUU
rnacentral:lncRNA from 10 species